GAAGGUUUAGUAUAAUUUAGUACGUCCCGCUUACAACGGGAGGGUGGAAUAAUGUUUUCAACCUUUU
rnacentral:tRNA from 1 species